rnacentral:rRNA from 1 species
AACGUAGGAGACAAACGUCAUCCGGAGUUACUGGGCGUAAAGGGCGCGUAGGUGGUUCUGUAUGUCUACCGUGAAAGCGUACGGCUCAACCGUAUUUUGUCGGUAGAAACUGCAGGACUUGAGGCUGGGAGGGGCUGGCGGAAUUCCCUGUGUAGCGGUGAAAUGCGUAGAGAUGGGGGAGAACACUCGUGGCGAAGGCGGCCAGCUAGACCAGUUCUGACACUGAGGCGCGACAGCGUGGGGAGCAAACAGG